CUCAAUUGCAUAAACAUACAUUGUUUUAUGGUAAAAUUAAUGGAAAAAAACGUAUGACUCGAGAGAUUUAUUUUCACACAUUUACUUUAUCAGAAAAUAAAAAAAAUUAAUUGUUUUUUACUGGUAUGAAAUCCCGAGUUACAGAGAUGCAAAUUUUUUUAUACAUGCUAAUAGUUGAUGACACUCCUACUUUCAUUUCCCGUGAGAUCUUCCUCCCUUUUCCAAGAGUUCUGUAAUCAACUAAUGGCAUAGAUGAUUAGCUAUUUAAGUACUGCUAGUUAUUUUAUAGCUUCUUGAAAGCUACUUGCAUUCCAUUUUCACUUUCUAAAAGUCAUAAAGUUUGUAUUUAAAUAAAAUACCAAGGAUAAAAUGUACAAAAUAUCUUCAAUUUCUCUACUGACCUACUCAACCCACACUCCCAUAAAAAUGACAACAUGUCUGUCUUUGUUUUUAUGUUGAUAACAGUUGUGUGGCUCUUAAAUUAUAAACCUAAUUAAUGCUGUUUACAAUUAAGG